rnacentral:rRNA from 1 species
GUAACGCGUGAGGAACCUGCCUUGGAGAGGGGAAUAACACUCCGAAAGGAGUGCUAAUACCGCAUAAUGCAGUUGGGUCGCAUGGCUCUGACUGCCAAAGAUUUAUCGCUCUGAGAUGGCCUCGCGUCUGAUUAGCUAGUAGGCGGGGUAACGGCCCACCUAGGCGACGAUCAGUAGCCGGACUGAGAGGUUGACCGGCCACAUUGGGACUGAGACACGGCCCAGACUCCUACGGGAGGCAGCAGUGGGGAAUAUUGGGCAAUGGGCGCAAGCCUGACCCAGCAACGCCGCGUGAAGGAAGAAGGCUUUCGGGUUGUAAACUUCUUUUGUCGGGGACGAAACAAAUGACGGUACCUGACGAAUAAGCCACGGCUAACUACGUGCCAGCAGCCGCGGUAAUACGUAGGUGGCAAGCGUUAUCCGGAUUUACUGGGUGUAAAGGGCGUGUAGGCGGGAUUGCAAGUCAGAUGUGAAAACUGGGGGCUCAACCUCCAGCCUGC